UCUGUAUGAUGAUAAAACCUGAACCUGACUGAUUGUGGAGGGAAAAACUGAUUUAAUGAGUCUGAAGG